CGGCGGACGGGUGAGUAACGCGUGGGUAACCUGCCUCAUACAGGGGGAUAACAGUUGGAAACGGCUGCUAAUACCGCAUAGGCGCACAGUACCGCAUGGUACGGUGUGAAAAACUCCGGUGGUAUGAGAUGGACCCGCGUCUGAUUAGGUAGUUGGUGGGGUAACGGCCUACCAAGCCGACGAUCAGUAGCCGACCUGAGAGGGUGACCGGCCACAUUGGGACUGAGACACGGCCCAA
rnacentral:rRNA from 1 species